rnacentral:rRNA from 1 species
CUCAGGAUGAACGCUGGCGGCGUGCCUAAUACAUGCAAGUCGAGCGAACGGACGAGAAGCUUGCUUCUCUGAUGUUAGCGGCGGACGGGUGAGUAACACGUGGAUAACCUACCUAUAAGACUGGGAUAACUUCGGGAAACCGGAGCUAAUACCGGAUAAUAUUUUGAACCGCAUGGUUCAAAAGUGAAAGACGGUCUUGCUGUCACUUAUAGAUGGAUCCGCGCUGCAUUAGCUAGUUGGUAAGGUAACGGCUUACCAAGGCAACGAUGCAUAGCCGACCUGAGAGGGUGAUCGGCCACACUGGAACUGAGACACGGUCCAGACUCCUACGGGAGGCAGCAGUAGGGAAUCUUCCGCAAUGGGCGAAAGCCUGACGGAGCAACGCCGCGUGAGUGAUGAAGGUCUUCGGAUCGUAAAACUCUGUUAUUAGGGAAGAACAUAUGUGUAAGUAACUGUGCACAUCUUGACGGUACCUAAUCAGAAAGCCACGGCUAACUACGUGCCAGCAGCCGCGGUAAUACGUAGGUGGCAAGCGUUAUCCGGAAUUAUUGGGCGUAAAGCGCGCGUAGGCGGUUUUUUAAGUCUGAUGUGAAAGCCCACGGCUCAACCGUGGAGGGUCAUUGGAAACUGGAAAACUUGAGUGCAGAAGAGGAAAGUGGAAUUCCAUGUGUAGCGGUGAAAUGCGCAGAGAUAUGGAGGAACACCAGUGGCGAAGGCGACUUUCUGGUCUGUAACUGACGCUGAUGUGCGAAAGCGUGGGGAUCAAACAGGAUUAGAUACCCUGGUAGUCCACGCCGUAAACGAUGAGUGCUAAGUGUUAGGGGGUUUCCGCCCCUUAGUGCUGCAGCUAACGCAUUAAGCACUCCGCCUGGGGAGUACGACCGCAAGGUUGAAACUCAAAGGAAUUGACGGC